rnacentral:rRNA from 1 species
UACAGAGGGUGCAAGCGUUGCUCGGAUUUACUGGGCGUAAAGCGUACGCAGACGGUGAGAAAAGGUCGGAUGUGAAAGCCCCCGGGCUCAACCCGGGAACUGCAUCCGAAACCAUCUCGCUCGAGUGUGGGAGAGGGAAGCGGAAUUCCUGGUGUAGAGGUGAAAUUCGUAGAUAUCAGGAGGAACACCGGCGGCGAAGGCGCUUCCUGGCCCAU